AUGUCAACAGAGGCGAAGUGGAUAAUUGAGGAAACUAUUCGGAGAUUAGGCCAAGAUACACCAGCCGGGCCGGGAAUCGGAGUCGUUACAAAAGAGCUCGCCUGGCCUGCGAGUUUGCUUUAUCGGCUCCACGCAGCUCUGCGUCAGGGCGCGUGGUCCGCCGAGGCCCCGCGCCCCGUGGGCGCACCCAGCGCUCGGCCACGUGGAGCCAAAGCUUCCCGGCGCGCGGCCUGUUCGCCGCGCGCGGGGCCGGGGUUUCCAGCACGCAGGCCUGGCGGGCCGGCCCCGGGGAGGCGGAGGCCGGCGGAGGGGCUCUGCGCGGCCCGCGGGGGACUCGGGCCGGGACGCGUCGCGGGGGGACCUCAGCGCUGUGCCCUCGGCCCGCCCGUAGGUGUCUACGACUGCAAGGACAAGCGCGACGACGUGAAGUCGGAGGACGAGGACGGGCAGACCAAGCUGAAGCAGCGGCGCAGCCGCACCAACUUCACGCUGGAGCAGCUCAACGAGCUGGAGCGGCUCUUCGACGAGACGCACUACCCCGACGCCUUCAUGCGCGAGGAGCUCAGCCAGCGCCUCGGGCUCUCGGAGGCGCGCGUGCAGGUUUGGUUCCAGAACCGGAGAGCCAAAUGCCGCAAACAGGAGAACCAGAUGCACAAAGGCGUGAUCCUGGGCACAGCCAGCCACUUGGACGCCUGCAGGGUGGCCCCCUACGUGAACAUGGGCGCACUGAGGAUGCCUUUCCAACAGGUUCAGGCGCAGCUGCAGCUGGAAGGCGUGGCGCACGCGCACCCCCACCUCCACCCGCACCUGGCUGCGCACGCGCCCUACCUGAUGUUCCCGCCGCCGCCCUUCGGGCUGCCCAUCGCCUCCCUGGCCGAGUCGGCCUCGGCCGCCGCCGUCGUGGCCGCCGCGGCGAAGAGCAACAGCAAGAACUCCAGCAUCGCCGACCUCAGGCUGAAGGCGCGCAAGCACGCGGAGGCCCUGGGGCUCUGACCCGCCGGCCCGCCGCCCCGCGCGCGCCCCGGGCCCCGCCACCCCGUGCGUCCCUCCGUCCGUCAGUCCGUCCGUCCGCGGCGUCCUGCACUCCACCCCUCCGCUCCCCGCACCGCCCCCCACCCUCCGCCUCGACGGGCCGCACGGCCACCCUGGAGCCAGGGGGCAGCGAACUCCCCGCCCCGGGGCCGCCCUGGGAGAUCCCUCUCCACCCCCUGCAGGCCUCGGGACGGGGACAUCGGGGAGCGCACGGCACCUCCAGGGCCUCGCGGAGACCGUCGCGGGGCGGGAAGAGCGAGCAGGGGACGGUUGGACCACCCCAACUCGGCCCCCUCUUCGGGCGGCCAGUGCGUCCUGGGACGACCCUCGGCCACGUGGAGCUGCCCUGCGACCUCGCCUGCGGCUGCCACUUCCCACCCUGUGCAUGCGGCCUGCGCCACGCGCCUUUCCAAGAGCUCACAGUCUAG
rnacentral:lncRNA from 1 species